rnacentral:rRNA from 1 species
CCAGACUCCUACGGGAGGCAGCAGUGGGGAAUCUUCCGCAAUGGGCGCAAGCCUGACGGAGCAACGCCGCGUGAGUGAAGAAGGUCUUCGGAUCGUAAAGCUCUGUUGACGGGGACGAACGUGCGGAGUGCGAAUAGCACUUUGUAAUGACGGUACCUGUCGAGGAAGCCACGGCUAACUACGUGCCAGCAGCCGCGGUAAUACGUAGGUGGCGAGCGUUGUCCGGAAUCAUUGGGCGUAAAGGGAGCGCAGGCGGGCCGGUAAGUCUUACUUAAAAGUGCGGGGCUCAACCCCGUGAUGGGAGAGAAACUAUCGGUCUUGAGUACAGGAGAGGAAAGCGGAAUUCCCAGUGUAGCGGUGAAAUGCGUAGAUAUUGGGAAGAACACCAGUGGCGAAGGCGGCUUUCUGGACUGCAACUGACGCUGAGGCUCGAAAGCCAGGGGAGCGAACGGGAUUAGAUACCCCGGUAGUCCUGGCCGUAAACGAUGGAUACUAGGUGUGGGAGGUAUCGACCCCUACCGUGCCGGAGUUAACGCAAUAAGUAUCCCGCCUGGGGAGUACGGCCGCAAGGCUGAAACUCAAAGGAAUUGACGGGGGCCCCGCACAAG